GGGAGACGGGGACACUAGGAUACGGUCUGGAUCGAAUCUUCCUUGGAUACUAUCUCUCGUUGCAGACUGCGUACCUCGGGGUCAUCUCUUCACCUUGGUUGCGAACAAGAAAUUCGCCACUCACAAGACCCUAAGGUGAUGGUAGUAUCAGGAAAAGACGCAGAGAUGGACUGCAGUUUCGUCAAGGACACGUUUAUGGAGGCUACAGAUUUCGUGGUAAAACGAGCCCUCGAAGGACUGAACGACUCUACCCUCGGUGAUCCCAAGCGACGCAUCAUGCUUGAGAGCGUUUCUCAGACGCU